GAGAAUUAUAAACUCAAAGAAAAAGACUAUUAGAUAAUCAUCUGUAGAUAUAGUAACUGGACAUGUUUUUAAGAUUGCUUUUCUUGGGAAAAAGAGAAACACAUUUGUAAUUUAAUGUGUAAAUUACACAUAAGCAACUGUUUCAGCUGGAUUUUCAUCUGGUUGUAAGUAAAAGUGUGACUUAAACACAUUGGUAUUUAUAUGUCUCAUUUAACUAAAAGUCUCUGAGAUGAGUAGGCAGGUCUGGACUAGUACUGAGUGAGAUAUAUUGUCUAUGUCCCCAUCCAAAUCUCAUCUUGAAUUCCCAAGUGUUGUGGGAGGGACCUGGUGAGAGGUAAUUGAAUAAUGGGGGUAAGUCUUUCCUGUGCUGUUCUCCUAAUAAUGAAUAAAUCUCACUAGAUCUGAUGGUUUUAAAAAAAGGAGUUCCCCCACACAAGCUCUCUCUCUCUUUGUCUGCAGCCAUCCAUGUAAGACAUGACUUGCUGUUCCUUGCCUUCUGCCAUGAUUGUGAGGCUUCCCCAGCCACGUGGAACCAUUGUUCCUGUCCCCACCUCCAGGAACAAACAGCACAGUUCAAGGAUGUCUUUAUUAAAAAAACUGACGUACUUUCCAAGGUGUUUACUUCUCUUCCUGGUCAAGAGUUAAAGUGGCACUAAGUUAUAAUAAAAUGUGUUUUGUUUGUUGUCUAACUUAUUUUAAUAAAGCACAAGUCCUAUAUAUUUUAUAUCUAUGUUCUAUGUUCAAGGGAUGCCACUUUGUUAUCUACAAAGCCUUCGAAAAAUUUGAAGUUAGAGAAUGAAAUGAAACUCUAGCUGCAAUUUCAUAAUCAUUCAAAGCAGUACAAUAAUGGAAAGAAAAAACUAAGCUGAGGCUUUAUUCUAGCUCAGUGCUAUUCAAAGUGUGGUUCGUGGAUUAUUGCUAGUCCACAAACAAUUUGUUAUUGCACUAACAUAAGAAAAGAAAUUGAAAGUAAUCAUCUGGAAAUGUCUAUAGUAAUUUGACAGCUGCUUGUGGCAAAAUAGUCUUACUAGACACCAGCAGUAGGAUCACGUUUUAAUUUGUAAUAUUUUAAGGUCACUUUGGCAACUAUACCUUAAAAGCAUAUAAAAUCUGGUAUUUAUUUCUGACAUAGACACGUCAAUCAAUUAUAAUUAAAUAAGAAAAUUAUUUCAACUAAAUAGAAGAUAAAGAUGAAUUGUGAAAAUUCAGCAACACUUGCCUCAUUUUGUUUAAAAUUUCAAAAUGAAUAUCACAAUAUUGCUAUAAAAUCACUCCCAUUAUUCAUCAAUAUAUUUCUAUGAGAAUAAGCAGUCUAAUAUGUGAGUUAUUAAAACAAAUCAUUUCUAGAUAGAUAUGUUUCUUUUAUAGGACUGGUGCUGUCAUUGACCUAACAGAUAAGUUAACAAGCAAGAUUUCAUACACAUUUGAGUUAUAGUUGUCACACUAUAUGCACAUGUUAGAUAAAUACUGUGCAUAUCAAUAUUUUGAGUAUUAGUGUGACAAAUGGGCCUAUCCAGUGUGUGUAUAGAGGUGUUUAAUGUGGAGACUCAUUGAUUUUUUUAAUUAUGACUAUAGAAAGCA
rnacentral:lncRNA from 1 species